ensembl:misc_RNA Metazoa_SRP Metazoan signal recognition particle RNA
GCCAGGCAUGGUGGCACAAGUCUGUAAUCCCAGCUACUCGGGAGGCUGAGGUGGGAGGAUCACUUGAGCCCAGAAGGUCAAGGCUGCAGUGAGCCGUGCUUGCACCACUGCACUCCAGUCUGGGCAACAGAGUGAGAUCCUGUCUCAA